rnacentral:rRNA from 1 species
AGCGAACGCUGGCGGCAGGCCUAACACAUGCAAGUCGAACGGAUCCUUCGGGAUUAGUGGCGGACGGGUGAGUAACACGUGGGAACGUGCCUUUUGGUUCGGAACAACUCAGGGAAACUUGAGCUAAUACCGAAUGUGCCCUUCGGGGGAAAGAUUUAUCGCCAUUAGAGCGGCCCGCGUCUGAUUAGCUUGUUGGUGAGGUAAAAGGCUCACCAAGGCUACGAUCAGUAGCUGGUCUGAGAGGAUGAACGGCCACAUUGGGACUGAGACACGGCCCAAACUCCUACGGGAGGCAGCAGUGGGGAAUCUUAGACAAUGGGGGAAACCCUGAUCUAGCCAUGCCGCGUGGACGAUGAAGGCCUUAGGGUUGUAAAGUCCUUUCAGCUGGGAAGAUAAUGACGGUACCAGCAGAAGAAGCCCCGGCUAACUCCGUG